rnacentral:tRNA from 1 species
GCUAGUGUAGCUUAACCCUAAAGCAUGACACUGAAGUUGUUGAAGCAUG